rnacentral:rRNA from 1 species
AUUGAACGCUGGCGGCAGGCUUAACACAUGCAAGUCGAGCGGAGAUGAGGUGCUUGCACCUUAUCUUAGCGGCGGACGGGUGAGUAAUGCUUAGGAAUCUGACUAUUAGUGGGGGACACCAUUCCGACAGGAAUGCUAAUACCGCAUACGCCCUACGGGGGAGAGCAGGGGAUCUUCGGACCUUGCGCUAAUAGAUGAGCCUAACUGGGAUUAGGUAGUUGGUGGGGUGAAGGCCUACCAAGGCGACGAGCUGUAGCGGGUCUGAGGUGCUGAUCCGCGACAAGGGGACUGAGACACUGGCCAAACGCGUACGGGAGGCAGCAGUGGGGAAUAUUGGACAAUGGGCGGAAGCCUGAUCCAGCCAUGCCGCGUGUGUGAAGAAGGCCGUUUGGUUGGAAAGCACUUUAAGCGAGGAGGAGGCUACAUGGAUUAAUACUCUAGGAUAGUGGACGUUACCCGCAGAAUAAGCACCGGCUAACUCUGUGCCAGCCGCCGCCGUAACAC